CGGCCGGGGCUGGGUGCUAGGCUCUCGCCAGAGAAGGGGAACGGCACCUUCCACCUUUCCACAGUGCACCCUCAAUUCUGGCUGAGGAGCCAGGCACUGAACAACGUGUUAUAAUCAAAGAGGUAGGAAACCAAGCUCUUGACCAAAGAGUCACACAAAGUAUCAUAGCCCCAGGGCUCACUGGCCACAGAAGCGACACAUCUUGAGUGACAAAGGCCCCACCACCUGAACACAAAUGAUUGCCUGUG